GACGAACGCUGGCGGCGUGCUUAACACAUGCAAGUCGAACGGAAAGGCCCUGCUUUUGUGGGGUGCUCGAGUGGCGAACGGGUGAGUAACACGUGAGUAACCUGCCCUGGACUUUGGGAUAACUUCAGGAAACUGCGGCUAAUACCGGAUAGGAGCUCCUGCUGCAUGGUGGGGGUUGGAAAGUUUCGGCGGUUGGGGAUGGACUCGCGGCUUAUCAGCUUGUUGGUGGGGUAGUGGCUUACCAAGGCUUUGACGGGUAGCCGGCCUGAGAGGGUGACCGGCCACAUUGGGACUGAGAUACGGCCCAGACUCCAACGGGAGGAAGCAGUGGGGAAUAUUGCACAAUGGGCGGAAGCCUGAUGCAGCAACGCAGCGUGCGGGAUGAAGGCCUUCGGGUUGUAAGCCGCUUUCGCCUGUGACGAAGCGUGAGUGACGGUAAUGGGUAAAGAAGCACCGGCUAACUACGUG
rnacentral:rRNA from 1 species